rnacentral:rRNA from 1 species
CUUAGUUGCCAGCAUUCGGUUGGGCACUCUAGAGGGACUGCCGGCGACAAGUCGGAGGAAGUGGGGAUGACGUCAAAUCAUCAUGCCCCUUAUGACCUGGGCUACACACGUGCUACAAUGGGCGGUACAAAGGGCUGCGAACCCGCGAGGGGGAGCGAAUCCCAAAAAGCCGCUCUCAGUUCGGAUUGCAGGCUGCAACUCGCCUGCAUGAAGCCGGAAUCGCUAGUAAUCGCGGAUCAGCAUGCCGCGGUCGAAUACGUUCCGGGCCUU